GAUGAACGCUGGCGGCGUGCCUAAUACAUGCAAGUCGAGCGAAUGGAUUAAGAGCUUGCUCUUAUGAAGUUAGCGGCGGACGGGUGAGUAACACGUGGGUAACCUGCCCAUAAGACUGGGAUAACUCCGGGAAACCGGGGCUAAUACCGGAUAACAUUUUGAACCGCAUGGUUCGGAAUUGAAAGGCUGCUUCGGCUGUCACUUAUGGAUGUACCCGCGUCGCAUUAGCUAGUUGGUGAGGUAACGGCUCACCAAGGCAACGAUGCGUAGCCGACCUGAGAGGGUGAUCGGCCACACUGGGACUUAGAAACGGCCCAGACUCCUACGGGAGGCAGCAGUAGGGAAUCUUCCGCAAUGGACGAAAGUCUGACGGAGCAACGCCGCGUGAGUGAUGAAGGCUUUCGGGUCGUAAAACUCUGUUGUUAGGGAAGAACAAGUGCUAGUUGAAUAAGCUGGCACCUUGACGGUACCUAACCAGAAAGCCACGGCUAACUACGUGCCAGCCGCCGCCGUAA
rnacentral:rRNA from 1 species